rnacentral:rRNA from 1 species
UACGUAGGGUGCGAGCGUUAAUCGGAAUUACUGGGCGUAAAGCGUGCGCAGGCGGUUUUGUAAGCCAGAUGUGAAAUCCCCGGGCUUAACCUGGGAAUGGCAUUCGAGACUGUGUAGCUAGGAUGCGGAAGAGGGAAGCGGAAUUUCCGGUGUAGCGGUGAAAUGCGUAGAUAUCGGAAGGAACACCAGUGGCGAAAGCGGCUUCCUGGUCCAGCAUCGACGUUCAGGCACGAAAGCGUGGGGAGCAAACAGG